ACUCUAAUAGUUUAUAAAA
rnacentral:tRNA from 1 species